rnacentral:rRNA from 1 species
GACGAACGCUGGCGGCGUGCUUAACACAUGCAAGUCGAACGAUCAACCAGGGAGCUUGCUCCCUCCGGAUCAGCGGCGAACGGGUGAGUAACACGUGAGCAAUCUGCCCCGAACUCUGGGAUAAGCGCUGGAAACGACGUCUAAUACCGGAUACGACGCCGGAGGGCAUCCUCCCCUCGUGGAAAGUAGUUCGGUUCGGGCUUAGCUCUCGGCCUAUCAGCUUGUUGGUGAGGUAUCGGCUCACCACGGCGGCGAGUGGUAGCCGGCCUGCGAGGGUGACCAGCGACAAUGGGACUGAGGGACGGCGCAGACGGCUACGGGAGGCAGCAGUGGGGAAUAUUGCGCAAUGGGGGCAAGCCUGAGGCGGCAACGCCGCGUGAGGGAAGACCGCCUUCGGGUUGUAAACCUCUUUUAGCGGGGAAGAAGCGAAAGUGACGGUACCUGCAGAAAAAGCACCGGCUAACUACGUG